GACGAACCGAGCGAACGUUGUUCGGAAUCACUGGGCUUAAAGGGCGCGUAGGCGGCUUCGCAAGUCCGGGGUGAAAGCCCCCAGCUCAACUGGGGAAGUGCCUUGGAUACUGCGGGGCUCGAGGGAGGUAGGGGCAGGUGGAACUUCCGGUGGAGCGGUGAAAUGCGUUGAUAUCAGAAGGAACGCCGGUGGCGAAAGCGGCGGACUGGAUCUCUUCUGACGCUGAGGCGCGAAAGCUAGGGGAGCAAACGGG
rnacentral:rRNA from 1 species